rnacentral:rRNA from 1 species
CAGUAGCCGCGGUAAUACGUAGGUGGCAAGCGUUGUCCGGAAUUAUUGGGCGUAAAGCGAGCGCAGGCGGUUAGAUAAGUCUGAAGUUAAAGGCUGUGGCUUAACCAUAGUACGCUUCGGAGACUGUUUAACUUGAGUGCAAGAGGGGAGAGUGGAAUUCCAUGUGUAGCGGUGAAAUGCGUAGGUAUAUGGAGGAACACCGGUGGCGAAAGCGGCUCUCUGGCUUGUAACUGACGCUGAGGCUCGAAAGCGUGGGGAGCAAAUGGGAUUAGAUACCCCCGUAGUCCCUGUCUCUUAUACC